rnacentral:rRNA from 1 species
CAAUAGCGUAUAUUUAGGUUGUUGCAGUUAAAAAGCUCGUAGUUGGAUUUCGGUUAAGAGCGACCGGUCCGCCGUUUGGUGUGCACUGGUUGGUUUUAACUUCCUGUAGAGGACGUGCUCUGGGUUUAACGACCUGGACUCGGAGUCUACGUGGUUACUUUGAAAAAAUUAGAGUGUUCAAAGCGGGCUUACGCUUGAAUAUUUCAGCAUGGAAUAACACUAUAGGACUCCUGUCCUAUUUCGUUGGUCUCGGGACGGGAGUAAUGAUUAAGAGGAACAGUUGGGGGCAUUCGUAUUUCAUUGUCAGAGGUGAAAUUCUUGGAUUUAUGAAAGACGAACUUCUGCGAAAGCAUUUGCCAAGGAUGUUUUCAUUAA